AAUGAACGUUGGCGGUGUGGAUUAGGCAUGCAAGUCGUGCGCGAAAUGUAGCAAUACAUGGAGAGCGGCGAAAGGGAGAGUAAUACAUAGGUACCUACCCCCGGGUCUGGGAUAGCGGCGGGAAACUGCCGGUAAUACCAGAUAAUGUCUCCGGACCAAAGGUGUGAUUCCACCUGGGGAGGGGCCUGUGGCCUAUCAGCUUGUUGGUGGGGUAACGGCCUACCAAGGCAAAAACGGGUAUGGGGCGUGAGAGCGUGCCCCCACUCACUGGGACGGAGAUACUGCCCAGACACCUACGGGUGGCUGCAGUCGAGAGUCUUCGGCAAUGGGCGCAAGCCUGACCGAGCGACACCGCGUGCGGGAUGAAGGCCUUCGGGUUGUAAACCGCUGUCGUAGGGGAGGAAGGGUCCGUGAAGAACGGAACUUGACCGAUCCUAGGAGGAAGGGCCGGCUAAUCUCGUGCCAGCCGCCGCCGUAAUAC
rnacentral:rRNA from 1 species